GCGGAUGUGAUGUAGUAGGUAGCAUCUGAGUAUGCCAAUUUCAGUGCGCGAGUUCGAGUCUCGCCAUCCGCU
rnacentral:tRNA from 1 species